ACAAAAGCUUUUAUCUGUCUGGCCCAUGAUUAGAGAGGGAAGAAGGCAUUACCACAAUAAAAAUCUACUCACUCUGGGACUUGCCACUCACCGCCACCACAGGCUUGAGUAAUGGCAGUUACUAAGGCCUCACAAAUGUCCCUGUGGAAAUGUUUUUUUGAAGCUACAGUGCAUCUCUUCUUUUGUCUUUCAUCGUUGGCUACUGCUGUCUGGUACAGCCACAACUUAGGAAAACAUAGAGGAGAGAAUUGUUAGUAUUGCAAUUCUAACAUGAACAUUUGAGGUCCGUCAGGAGUUUUGAAUUAUGAAUUUUGGCUGAGCUGAGGAAAAACAAACGUGUGGCAAGACGGAGAGACAACAAGACAGAGCAGAAGAAGUCUGAGCUAUUGAUUUACUCAAACCACAGGCCUCCCAGGUCUUGAACAUUAUAUACCCGAGCCAGUUUUCCCAAAAGCAUCUUAAGGCUAAGUUCCUCGUUAGACUCUUCAUCAGAGCAUCAUUGAAUCUUUAGAGAUGUGUUUCCCUAAACCAUUGUUACUAAAGUUGCAGUUGAAAAGGUUUGUUAUUUAACGAUUGCAUCAGACCACUCGUAGAACAGGUACUGUAAUUGUGUCUGUUUCUCAAACUAGACACACAAUGUUCUUGUCCUGUUGCUCAGUUGUGCACCGGGGACACACACUCAUCUUUCUAUUCUGGUUAGAGCCAGUUUGCGCUGUUCUGUGAAGGGAGUUGUCCACAGCGUUGUAUGAGAUCUUCAGUUUCUUGGCAAUUUCUCGCAUGGAAUAGCCUUCAUUUAUCAGAGCAAUAAUAGACUGAUGAGUUUCAGAAGAAGGUAUUUUUUCUGGCCAUUUUGAGCCUGUAAUCGAACCCACAAAUGCUGAUGCUCCAGAUAAUCAACUAGUCCAAGGAAGGCCAUUUGUAUUGCUACUUUAAUCAGAACAAAAGUUUAUAGCUGUGCUAACAUAAUUGCAAAAGGGUUUUCUAAUGAUCAAUUAGCCUUUUAAAAUGAUAAACUUGGAUUAGCUAGCACAACGUGCCAUUGGAACACAGAGGUGAUGGUUGCUGAUAAUGGGCCUCUGUGCACCUAUGUAUAUAUUCCAUAAAAAAUCAGCCGUUCCCAGCUACAAUAGUCAUUUACAACAUUAACAAUGUCUACACUGUAUUUCUGAUCAAUUUGGUGUUAUUUUAAUGGACAAAAAAAUAGCUUUUCUUUCAAAAACAAGGACAUUUCUAAGUGACCCCUAACUUUUGAACGGUAGUGUACCUACGGUAUAUAUUUCAAUGAUAUUGAAAUACAUUUCUUAUUCAGUCAAUUGAGGAAAGAUGUAUGGUUAAAACACUCGUAAGCUUAAGUUCCAUCGCUAUCGGGAAACAGGGCCCUGAAUGCUUGAUGUACCUUUUGAAUUAUUCAGGCUACAUUCUUAUAGUCCCUCCCUUUCAUUCAAUAUUAUUUUUCCUCCUCGAGAAAGUACCCAAUUCCCUUAUGAAGCCACUGACAAAGUCCAUCAUAUAGAGAUUGAUAGGGACCAUUCUAUUCUGUGUAAAUCAGGCAUUCAUUAGUGUUGCUGUUUUAUGUCACAAUACAUACAGUAUCUGUAUUUCGAGACAGAGAAUGCACUACUGUGCUCAGUCUUAGGCAGCUAAGGUUUCCUUAGAGGAAAUUACUCCCGUCUACAUGGAUUGAUCAUGUAGCUCAAUGACGUCAUCGGGGGACAGAUAAUUACAAAGGAGAUCUAAGUCCACUUGUACAACAAAGUACACUGAGUGUACAAAACAUUAAGAACACCUUCUUAAUAUUGAGUUGCACCCUGCCCUUUUGCCUUCAGAACAGCCACAGUUCAUCGGGGCUUGGACUCUACAAGGUGUCUUAAGCAUUCCACAUGGUGUCACGCGCUGACCGUAGAGAGCCUUUUUAUUUCUCUAUUUGGUUAGGUCAGGGUGUGAUUUGGGUGGGCAUUCUAGAUGAUGUAUAUCUAUGUUUUGUAUUUCUAUGUUGGCCUGAUAUGGUUCCCAAUCAGAGGCAGCUGUCUUGCGUUGUCUCUGAUUGGGGAUCAUAUUUAGGCAGCCUUUUCCCACUGGGGUUUUGUGGGAUCUUGUUUUUGCAUUGCGCUGUAUUUAGCCCUGCAGAACGUUACGCUCGGUUUUUGUAUUUUGUUGGUUUUGUUGGUGUUCAUAAAAUAAAGUAAGAUGUACGCUUA